AUGAGAGGGAGCUUGCUCCCUGGAUUAGUGGCGAACGGGUGAGUAACACGUGAGUAACCUGCCCUUGACUCUGGGAUAAGCACUGGAAACGGUGUCUAAUACCGGAUACGAACUUCGGCCGCAUGGCUAGGAGUUGGAAAGAAUUUCGGUCAAGGAUGGACUCGCGGCCUAUCAGCUAGUUGGUGAGGUAAUGGCCCACCAAGGCGACGACGGGUAGCCGGCCUGAGAGGGUGACCGGCCACACUGGGACUGAGACACGGCCCAGACUCCUACGGGAGGCAGCAGUGGGGAAUAUUGCACAAUGGGCGCAAGCCUGAUGCAGCAACGCCGCGUGAGGGACGACGGCCUUCGGGUUGUAAACCUCUUUUAGUAGGGAAGAAGCGAAAGUGACGGUACCUGCAGAAAAAGCACCGGCUAACUACGUGCCAGCAGCCGCGGUAAUACGUAGGGUGCAAGCGUUAUCCGGAAUUAUUGGGCGUAAAGAGCUCGUAGGCGGUUUGUCGCGUCUGCUGUGAAAACUGGGGGCUCAACCCCCAGCCUGCAGUGGGUACGGGCAGACUAGAGUGCGGUAGGGGAGAUUGGAAUUCCUGGUGUAGCGGUGGAAUGCGCAGAUAUCAGGAGGAACACCAAUGGCGAAGGCAGAUCUCUGGGCCGUAACUGACGCUGAGGAGCGAAAGCAUGGGGAGCGAACGGGAUUAGAUACCCUGGUAGUCCAUG
rnacentral:rRNA from 1 species